AUUGAACGCUGGCGGCAGGCCUAACACAUGCAAGUCGAGCGGUAGAGAGGUGCUUGCAUCUCUUGAGAGCGGCGGACGGGUGAGUAAUGCCUAGGAAUCUGCCUAGUGGUGAGGGAUAACGUUCGGAAACGGACGCUAAUACCGCAUACGUCCUACGGGAGAAAGCGGGGGAUCUUCGGACCUCGCGCCAUUAGAUGAGCCUAGGUCGGAUUAGCUAGUUGGUGAGGUAAUGGCUCACCAAGGCGACGAUCCGUAACUGGUCUGAGAGGAUGAUCAGUCACACUGGAACUGAGACACGGUCCAGACUCCUACGGGAGGCAGCAGUGGGGAAUAUUGGACAAUGGGCGAAAGCCUGAUCCAGCCAUGCCGCGUGUGUGAAGAAGGUCUUCGGAUUGUAAAGCACUUUAAGUUGGGUAGGAAGGGUAGGUAACCUAAUACGUUGCUACUUUGACGUUACCGACAGAAUAAGCACCGGCUAACUUCGUGCCAGCA
rnacentral:rRNA from 1 species